AGGACAACGUUACGGACGGCACAGCCUUUUUGCUUCAAUGAGGCCGGGGCAUCAUGGCCCCGGAAUACGGCUCUUUUCCG
rnacentral:misc_RNA from 1 species